UUGCAGAGAAAUUCAACAAAAGUGUUGUAGCGAGUUUGCGUGAGAGAUUGUGUUGGUAUUCAUGUAAUAUUGUAAAGAGUGUAGGGUGAGAGUCAUUGAACUAGUGGUAAGUAUAAUUAUUACUGCGCAGGCUUCAAAGAAAUUUUAAUAUUCGAAAUUAAGAGAGGAGAGAGAAGGAAUCCAUAUAUAGAAGUAAAAAAUAAUUGCAUAUAAAUAAAAAAAUUAAAAAUAUAUUACAAUUUAAUUAGUGAAAAUUAUAUACAAACAACACAAUUCCUGGACUUCGCCCCUCCUUGGAAGACUUGGAUGGCAAUGAAGUUUAGCUUUCAUCUAAGAACACAAAACUUAUUUUUAAGAUCGAACCUAGCCGACUUACAUACAUAUGUCUAACUACAUGCUUAUAACAAUAUAAUGAUGAUAACUCAAAAAGUCUAAUACGGUGUAUAAAUGUACUAAAUUGCAUAUAAGUUACUUGCAACAAAAAGCCGGCUAUUUUCAGCAAAACUAGGAAGAUUAUGUUCAGUUAAGAAAUAUGGAGUAAAUUUUUGCAGUAGUCUCGCUUUUGCCGUAUAUUCUUAAUGUGCUUAUACUACGCAGCCUUUGCUUUUGAGCUAUACAUACAUUCCAAAGAGACGUACCAUAUAUGUAUGUAUAUUUGCCCUUUCUGUAUAUUAAACCUAUAAAACAAAUCCCCUCAAAAAGAAACAUGUGUAACCGCAUACAUUUUUAUUUGCAUUUUUCAAAUCACUAAAUAUUUGAUUUUUUUUUUUAAUAUAAUCAUAGAAACACUACAUAUAUAUUAUAUUUAACUAAACAUAUGUAUGUAUCCGCAUACUUUCCGAAAUGAUUUACUCAAUAGUAAAAUAAAUAACAAUGUUAACGAUUUGAUACUAAUAUACCUGAGCAGUAUACAAAUAUACACAAUACUAUGAAUUCAUAACAAUAUAAAGCUGUCAUCGGGAUACACUUAAAAUAGCGACAAAACAAAAUCCCGACAUAUGAAAAUUGUCCGCCCUUAUUUCUAUCGUAGCACAGAAAGAGAAUUCUACUGACUAAGGGUUAUGAUUUAUUGUCGGUAUUUUGACUGUCGGGAUUCUGAAUUUCGAGAUUUUAAUUGUCGGCAUUACGUUAUACACCCGUAGCAAUCGAAAAUAGAUUUUAUUACAAAUUCCGUUUAAUUUCGACCGAAACAAGAACAACUUAUACAACGAAUAACAAUUAAAAAUGCGCUCUAUAAAAGAUAAUUAACAUUGUGACUUAGCUUUUAAACAUUAAAAUUUUCAACUAUUAUUAUCGCACACAUAAAUAACCUUGAUGCUAAGUUAGCAGUACUCAAUAAAACCAUAAUCAAAUAUUUUAUACCAUUAAAACCUUAAUAAUAAGGUUAAAUUAUUUAUACGAAUACAUCCUGUAAAGCAAUUUACAUGAAGUAAAAUUACUACGAAUGUUAAAAUUGCAAUAUACCAUAUCACUAUCACAUUUAUAUAGAAAUAAUUCGUUUACAUUUAUACACCAGCCCCACCCACUUAUAUUCAUAUCUCAAACAGAUACCACUGUAUGCUAUCAUAACUGUAAAUUCAAAUAACUUUAUAUAUUCAUGAAAUUAUAUUAAUAUUAUUUAUUAUGACAUCUCAUAUUAUACAUUCCGCCACCCAAAUGUAAAUAAAUGCAUCCAUAAUGCGUAUGCCGGUAUAUACACAAAGUUAUUCUUAUCUUUAUUUAUUAGAAUUAAAGUACAAUGUGUACUCGAUCAAAAAAACCAUGUAAAAUUUUAAAUUGCAAACGGAACCUAUUUACCAUAUAACUAGUACCUUAAUACUUUUUCUAUUGUUAACGAUUUAAACUUUUUAGGGUGCGGCAAUGUUAGAAACUUCAAAGACACAUAAAUUAUAAGCUACCAGCAGCUGUUCCCUGGGGAUUCCGUUGAUUUUGCCACUAAUGUAUGUAUAUGAACCAUCGAAUUUUUCUCUUGGCCUCUUCAACGCCUAAAAUCGUGCUUUAUCUGCAGAGGUGGCAUGGACGGGUAGGUCAUAGUAAUCACAAUCACUGCAAGUUCUGGAAGCUCGACAAUUUAUUGGUGGAAAAAUUUGCUCUUUAAAAGAAUGCAAUUGCAAUAAAUUUUAGUUGAAUUGGAAUGUAUACAAAUUCAGAAGAGCAUAAAGCGCGAUUUUUCCACGCAGAAAGGCGUUGGAUGAGAGAAUACACAUCCUACUUGAUUUGAUAGAACCAAAAUCGCGUACAGAGAAACACAACUUGCUGUUGGAGAGUGCAAGAACUAAAUGAUUAAAGGCGACCGCUUACUGCUUUCAGGAUAAAAAUGCAUAUACCGAACAUGAAAGCAUCAUCAACGAGGAAACUCAGAGUAGGAGGUGGGAAAACAACAAGGCAACAGGACACAUGAAAAGGAGUUCACGGAAUAUGCACAUAACACAUAAAUAUAUGUAUAUCGCUAAAACAACUCAGAAGCACACAGUGGGCUAAGUUGGCAUACUAUUCUGUGUUCAGUUUAAGCAAAUGUACAAUCAAAGAUUUAUAUCUUGAAUAAAACAAAAUGAUAACACGGAUUCAACACACUAACACAUGCAUUUCUGCAUGCACAUCGUAUACAAUAAGGAACUGCAAUUGUCAUUUUUCUCUUACUGGUACAAGCGCAGGAGUAAUUUUGUUGUCGUAGGUUCACAACAACACAAACCGGAGAAUAUUGUCAACAACUGGAAAUGUUUUAAAGGCAUAUAUGUAUACACAAAAAUCUAUAUAUACUAUACUAUAUAUUUCUAUAUAACGGUAUUUCCCGAGAGCAAUGCAUGCGUUAAAUAUACAAGUUGAAUAUUUAUAUGUAGAUGAAUAUACAAAUGCUCAUAUACUUCUGAAUAUGUUCAUAUGUUCAUUUAUUUGUAGUAUAUAAACAUACAUAUGUAUGCAAAAUAUGUAAUGUUCGAAAAUAGAAACAAAUUACAAAACUUUGGAUGGCACUGGCAAUAUUAUAAAAAAUACAUAAAAAUAUGGAUAUACCUAAAUACCUAUGAUAUAUGGUAUGCACAUACAUAUAUACAAAAUAAGUCGAUGCAGAAGCUGAAGGGUGGGUAGGCACAAGCACGUGUGAGUAGAGUAUUGCUUCGUUUUCAUUCGUAGCUGGUGUGUCCGUUUGGUCCUGGCUCAACUUGACACCAUUUAUGUCAAAAGACCAUUGAACUUUGCAAUCGUCUUCUCACCACAGGUCCCACUUCCAUAAACAACAUAAUGCGCCCACUCCUAUUGCAUUAGCAAUAAUAAACUAAAACUUAUAUUAUGGAAUAUGGUUUUAAUAAAUCAUUUAAGCAUUUUGUCAACUACGUGCAUAAUCGUACCAUUAAAUUACUCUUUAGACGUUUUUCUUUAAUAAAUUUCUUAAAAAAAAACAAGUACGUUCGAAUUUAUGCAUAAAGAUUUGAGUGAUCUAAUUUUUAUUUAUGAAUUUCUACUAGUCUUACCGUUGUCUCCAUUCAUAUGUAGUCCCCAUUUUUCUUGCGAGUACAAAUAACUUAAUUAUGAUCAGAUUCUCCAAACAUCCAAAGCACUAGUAUGUGAAUUUGUUAAGUUUUCUUUUAUCGUUUAAAUGAAUGGAAAUGUAGGAAUUUUCAAACGAUGCGCAAGAUUGCGUGACAUAAAUAAU